rnacentral:tmRNA from 1 species
GGGAUUGAUCGGUAUCGAUGAGAGUCGAUUUGUUCGUGAUCAAGUUGAGGGUGUGUGAUACCUCAUAAAUCCAUCACGCAGACGCCAAAUGCAAAAAACGUCAUGGCGAUGAUCAAGAACGCUUUCAGCGCUCCUUCAUUCGCUCCGGUUUUCGCUUAAUUGCGUAAAACCCAUCCGUCUUCCUGAUGCUCAAUAAGGAAAUGCGGGUGCUAUAUUUAUUGAGCUCGCAUGAUGGGUGUUCGGUCUCCAUCAUGUCAAAAUUGCGAUCGAUAAUCUUAUGUGUGUUUUGUCUCGCUUUAAACACAUAAGAUUAUUUAAGCGAGACUAAACUUGCAAACGUCCGUUCAAAAACACUUAUCAGACGGGGGUUCAAUUCCCCCCAAUUCCACCA